CCUACGGGUGGCAGCAGUGGGGGAUAUUGGGCAAUGGGCGCAAGCCUGACCCAGCAACGCCGCGUGAAGGAAGAAGCCUUUCGGGUUGUAAACUUCUUUUCUGAGGGACGAAGAAAGUGACGGUACCUCAAGAAUACGCCACGGCUAACUACGUGCCAGCAGCCGCGGUAAUACGUAGGUGGCAAGCGUUAUCCGGAUUUAUUGGGUGUAAAGGGCGUGUAGGCGGGAAAGCAAGUCAGAUGUGAAAACUCAGGGCUCAACCCCGAGCCUGCAUUUGAAACUGUUUUUCUUGAGUGCUGGAGAGGCAAGCGGAAUUCCGUGUGUAGCGGUGAAAUGCGUAGAUAUUAGGAGGAACACCAGUGGCGAAGGCGGUCUGCUGGACAGCAACUGACGGUGAGGCGCGAAAGUGUGGGUAUCAAACAGGAUUAGAUACCCGGGUAGUC
rnacentral:rRNA from 1 species